GUGGCUGUGGUGAAGCGGCUAACACGGCGGAUUGUGGCUCCGUUAUUCGUGGGUUCAAGUCCCACCAGUCACCCCA
rnacentral:tRNA from 1 species